GACGAACGCUGGCGGCGUGCUUAACACAUGCAAGUCGAACGGAAAGGCCCUGCUUUUGUGGGGUGCUCGAGUGGCGAACGGGUGAGUAACACGUGAGUAACCUGCCCUUGACUUUGGGAUAACGUCAGGAAACUGGGGCUAAUACCGGAUAGUAGCUCCUGCUGCAUGGUGGGGGUUGGAAAGUUUCGGCGGUCGGGGAUGGACUCGCGGCUUGUCAGCUUGUUGGUGGGGUAGUGGCUUACCAAGGCUUUGACGGGUAGCCGGCCUGAGAGGGUGACCGGCGACAUUGGGACUGAGCUACGGCCCAGACUACUACGGGAGGAAGCAGUGGGGAAUAUUGCACAAUGGGCGGAAGCCUGAUCCAGCAACGCGGCGUGCGGGAUGACGGCCUUCGGGUUGUAAACCGCUUUAGCCUGUGACGAAGCGGGAGUGACGGUAAUGGGUAAAGAAGCACCGGCUAACUACGUG
rnacentral:rRNA from 1 species